GUGGCUCAACUGGCUGAGUGCUUGCCUAGCACGCAUGAAGCUCUGGGUUCAAUCCCCAGC
rnacentral:tRNA from 1 species